rnacentral:rRNA from 1 species
UACGUAGGCAGCGAGCGUUGUUCGGAAUACUGGGCGUAAAGAGUGUGUAGGCGGUGCUCUAAGUUCGGUGUGAAAUCUCCUGGCUCAACUGGGAGGGUGCGCCGGAAACUGGAGUGCUUGAGUGUGGGAGAGGAAAGCGGAAUUCCUGGUGUAGCGGUGAAAUGCGUAGAUAUCAGGAGGAACACCUGUGGUGUAGACGGCUUUCUGGACCAUAGCUGACGCUGAGACACGAAAGCGUGGGUAGCAAACAGG